rnacentral:tRNA from 1 species
AGGAUUAUAGUUUAUAUUAAAAUAUUUAGCUUGCAACUAAAAGAUACAAAGGUUAACCCUU